GCUCUAGAAGACUGUGUAUUACUCAAGGAACGUGGAGUGGUUGAAGUAAAUGACUACAACCUGGAUUAUAUUCCACUGAGGAGUGCCGUACUUUUAAUCAUACAAGAAAGGACUAUAUUAUUUUAGGCAAGAGUACUUUCUUCCAUAGGAUUGAAGAAAGGUUUACAUAGGUGUUGAGUUACAUUAUAGUAUUUGUGCUAUGUGUUCAUAUGCAGUCACAUAUAACAUGUAUUUGGCAUGGCAUGAGUAGUUUCUGAAGGUAAAAAUAAAUAAAUUUAUAUUAAUUGUCACCUUUAGUUAAAACUAUGCACUAUAAAGAAUUGUGGAAGCAAAAGCUUAAUAAUAAUGAAGGGUGAGAGGAUUAAGAUUUCUACCUCAAUGACAACAUAGUAGAGUUAGUGGGGCAAAGGUGAACUAAAUGGUAGUUAAUGUGUUGAUAAUAAAGCAUCACAUUUGAGCUUCAUUUGCCUUUUAAAAACUAAGUUACUUCUACUUACAAUUAGC
rnacentral:lncRNA from 1 species